rnacentral:rRNA from 1 species
CCUACGGGAGGCAGCAGUGGGGAAUAUUGCGCAAUGGGGGAAACCCUGACGCAGCAACGCCGCGUGAGUGAUGAAGGCCUUCGGGUUGUAAAGCUCUGUCUUUGGGGACGAUAAUGACGGUACCCAAGGAGGAAGCCACGGCUAACUACGUG